AUUUUUUAAGGCCCACAAAAAAAAAAAAAAGUCUCACCAGCAUUUUUAACACCAGGAGAGGGCGUUGGAGCUUGUUCCUGCCUCUCCAAGUGCCAGCCUGGUAUUGCAGUACCUCCAGGCCUGGUGCUCAUUUU
rnacentral:snRNA from 1 species